CCAGCCUCUCGGCCUUUUGGCUAAGAUCAAGUGUAGUAUCUGUUCUUAUCAGUUUAAUCAGAAUCCAUUGAAGAGAAAGAAACAGUUCCAUACAUUUCACCUUCUGAGUACAAAUCCCACAUGUUCUCUCCUUCUCAAUUUGGGUUUGUACUAGUUUCUAUGUGCUGCUUUAUUUCUUUUAAUGAUUUUAUCAUC